rnacentral:rRNA from 1 species
UGGGGAAUCUUGGACAAUGGGCGCAAGCCUGAUCCAGCCAUGCCGCGUGAGUGACGAAGGUCUUCGGAUUGUAAAGCUCUUUUACCAGGGACGAUAAUGACGGUACCUGGAGAAUAAGCCCCGGCUAACUUCGUGCCAGCAGCCGCGGUAAUACGAAGGGGGCUAGCGUUGUUCGGAAUUACUGGGCGUAAAGCGCACGUAGGCGGAUUUGUAAGUCAGGGGUGAAAUCCCGGGGCUCAACCUCGGAACUGCCUUUGAUACUGCAAGUCUCGAGUCCGAUAGAGGUGAGUGGAAUUCCUAGUGUAGAGGUGAAAUUCGUAGAUAUUAGGAAGAACACCAGUGGCGAAGGCGGCUCACUGGUCCGGUACUGACGCUGAGGUGCGAAAGCGUGGGGAGCAAACAGGAUUAGAUACCCCAGUAGUCCCUGAGCGGGCUGGCAAGGCGCAU